UACAGAGGUCCCAAGCGUUGUUCGGAUUCAUUGGGCGUAAAGGGUGCGUAGGCGGCGCGGUAAGUCGGGUGUGAAAUCUCGGAGCUUAACUCCGAAACUGCAUUCGAUACUGCCGUGCUUGAGGACUGGAGAGGAGACUGGAAUUUACGGUGUAGCGGUGAAAUGCGUAGAUAUCGUAAGGAAGACCAGUGGCGAAGGCGGGUCUCUGGACAGUUCCUGACACUGAGAAACGAAGGCCAGGGGAGCAAACGGG
rnacentral:rRNA from 1 species